GAUGAAGAACGCAGUGAAAUGCGAUAAGUAAUGUGAAUUGCAGAAUUCAGUGAAUCAUCGAAUCUUUGAACGCACAUUGCGCCCGCCAGUACUCUGGCGGGCAUGCCUGUCCGAGCGUCAUUUCAACCCUCGAACCCCUCCGGGGGGUCGGCGUUGGGGAUCGGCCCUCCGUUCGCGGGGGCCGUCUCCGAAAUGCAGUGGCGGUCUCGCCGCAGCCUCCCCUGCGCAGUAGCUUGCACACUCGCACCGGGAGCGCGGCGCGUCCACAGCCGUUAAACACCCAACCUUCUGGAAUGUUGACCUCGGAUCAGGUAGGAAUACCCGCUGAACUUAAGCAUAUCAAUAAGCGGAGGA
rnacentral:misc_RNA from 1 species